AUUGCUUCUUGGCCUUUUGACUAAGAUCAAGGGCAGUACAUUAUUUGUUCUUAUCAGCUUAAUAUCCGAUACGACCUCUAUCCAAGGACAAUAUACUAAGUGGACUUUUGGAGCAGGGAGAUGGAAUAGGAGCUUGCUCCAUCCACUCCAUGCAUCAACCUGGUAUUACAGUAUCUCCAGAAACAGUGUGCCCAGU
ensembl:snRNA U2 U2 spliceosomal RNA